GUACCUGUAGCGCAAUGGAUAGCGCACUGGAGUUUUGAUCCAAAGGUCGUGGGUUCAAAUACCACCUGAUAUA